rnacentral:rRNA from 1 species
AGAGUUUGAUCCUGGCUCAGGAUGAACGCUGGCGGCGUGCUUAACACAUGCAAGUCGAACGGGAUCCAUCAAGCUUGCUUGGUGGUGAGAGUGGCGAACGGGUGAGUAAUGCGUGACCGACCUGCCCCAUACACCGGAAUAGCUCCUGGAAACGGGUGGUAAUGCCGGAUGUUCCAGUUGAUCGCAUGGUCUUCUGGGAAAGCUUUCGCGGUAUGGGAUGGGGUCGCGUCCUAUCAGCUUGACGGCGGGGUAACGGCCCACCGUGGCUUCGACGGGUAGCCGGCCUGAGAGGGCGACCGGCCACAUUGGGACUGAGAUACGGCCCAGACUCCUACGGGAGGCAGCAGUGGGGAAUAUUGCACAAUGGGCGCAAGCCUGAUGCAGCGACGCCGCGUGAGGGAUGGAGGCCUUCGGGUUGUAAACCUCUUUUAUCGGGGAGCAAGCGAGAGUGAGUUUACCCGUUGAAUAAGCACCGGCUAACUACGUGCCAGCAGCCGCGGUAAUACGUAGGGGGCAAGCGUUAUCCGGAUUUACUGGGUGUAAAGGGAGCGUAGACGGAAUGGCAAGUCUGAUGUGAAAGGCAGGGGCUCAACCCCUGGACUGCAUUGGAAACUGUCAGUCUUGAGUACCGGAGGGGUAAGCGGAAUUCCUAGUGUAGCGGUGAAAUGCGUAGAUAUUAGGAGGAACACCAGUGGCGAAGGCGCCUUUCUGGACUGUGUCUGACGCUGAGAUGCGAAAGCCAGGGUAGCGAACGGGAUUAGAUACCCCGGUAGUCCUGGCCGUAAACGAUGGGUACUAGGUGUAGGAGGUAUCGACCCCUCCUGUGCCGGAGUUAACGCAAUAAGUACCCCGCCUGGGGAGUACGUCCGCAAGGAUGAAACUCAAAGGAAUUGACGGGGACCCGCACAA